rnacentral:rRNA from 1 species
GGAGGGUGCAAGCGUUGUUCGGAAUUACUGGGCGUAAAGCGCGUGUAGGCGGUCGGGCAAGUCAGAUGUGAAAGCCUUCCGCUUAACGGAAGAAGUGCAUUUGAAACUACCCGGCUGGAGUACGGGAGAGGAGAGUGGAAUUCCCGGUGUAGAGGUGAAAUUCGUAGAUAUCGGGAGGAACACCAGUGGCGAAGGCGGCUCUCUGGUCCGGUACUGACGCUGAGACGCGAAAGCGUGGGGAGCAAACAGGAUUAGAUACCCUGGUAGUCCACGCCGUAAACGAUGGGCACUAGGUGUAGGAGGUAUUGACCCCUUCUGUGCCGAAGUUAACGCAUUAAGUGCCCCGCCUGGGGAGUACGGCCGCAAGGUUA